rnacentral:rRNA from 1 species
CCGCAAGGCGUGGCUUACGGCUCAGUAACACGUAGUCAACAUGCCCAAAGGACGUGGAUAACCUCGGGAAACUGAGGAUAAACCGCGAUAGGCCAAGGUUUCUGGAAUGAGCCCUGGCCGAAAUCUAUAUGGCCUUUGGAUUGGACUGCGGCCGAUCAGGCUGUUGGUGAGGUAAUGGCCCACCAAACCUGUAACCGGUACGGGCUUUGAGAGAAGGAGCCCGGAGAUGGGCACUGAGACAAGGGCCCAGGCCCUAUGGGGCGCAGCAGGCGCGAAACCUCUGCAAUAGGCGAAAGCCUGACAGGGUUACUCUGAGUGAUGCCCGCUAAGGGUAUCUUUUGGCACCUCUAAAAAUGGUGCAGAAUAAGGGGUGGGCAAGUCUGGUGUCAGUCGCCGCGGUAAUACCAGCACCCCGAGUUGUCGGGACGAUUAUUGGGCCUAAAGCAUCCGUAGCCUGUUCUGCAAGUCCUCCGUUAAAUCCACCUGCUCAACGGAUGGGCUGCGGAGGAUACCGCAGAGCUAGGAGGCGGGAGAGGCAAACGGUACUCAGUGGGUAGGGGUAAAAUCCAUUGAUCUACUGAAGACCACCAGUGGCGAAGGCGGUUUGCCAGAACGCGCUCGACGGUGAGGGAUGAAAGCUGGGGGAGCAAACCGGAUUAGAUACCCGGGUA